GACGAACGCUGGCGGCGUGCUUAACACAUGCAAGUCGAACGGAAAGGCCCUGUUUUUGUGGGGUGUUCGAGUGGCGAAGGGGUGAGUAACACGUGAGUAACCUGUACUUGACUUUGGGAUAACUUCAGGAAAGUGGGGCUAAUAGCGGAUAGGAGCUCUUGCCGUUUGGUGGGGGCUGGUAAGAUUCGGCGGUUGGGGAUGGACUAGCGGCGUAUCAGCUUGUUGGUGGGGUAGUGGCUUACCAAGGCUGUGACGGGUAGCCGACCUGCGAGGGUGACCGGCCACAUUGGGACUGAGAUGCGACCCAGACUCCUACGGUAGGCAGCGGUGAGGAAUAUUGCACAAUGGGCGGAGGCCUGAUGCAGCAACGCCGCGUGCGGUAUGACGGCCUUCGCGUUGUAGACCGCUUUCGCCUUUGACGAAACGUUAAUGACGGUAAUGGGUGAAGAGGCACCGGCUAACUACGUG
rnacentral:rRNA from 1 species